AGUGAAAUUGCUGGGUCAUGUGUUAACUAUAUGUUUAACUUUUUGAGGAAUUACCAAACUAUUUUCUAAAGUGGCUGUACCAUUUAUAUUCCCACCAGCCAU
rnacentral:pre_miRNA from 1 species